rnacentral:rRNA from 1 species
UACGGGGGGGGCAAGCGUUGUUCGGAAUUACUGGGCGUAAAGGGCUCGUAGGUGGCCAACUAAGUCACACGUGAAAUCCCUCGGCUUAACCGGAGAACUGCGUCUGAUACUGGAUGGCUUGAGUUUGGGAGAGGGACGCGGAAUUCCAGGUGUAGCGGUGAAAUGCGUAGAUAUCUGGAGGAACACCGGUGGCGAAGGCGGCGUCCUGGACCAAUACUGACACUGAGUGAGCGAAAGCCAGGGGAGCAAACGGG